UACGAAGGGGGCUAGCGUUGCUCGGAAUCACUGGGCGUAAAGCGCACGUAGGCGGAUUGUUAAGUCAGGGGUGAAAUCCUGGAGCUCAACUCCAGAACUGCCUUUGAUACUGGCGAUCUUGAGUCCGGGAGAGGUGAGUGGAACUGCGAGUGUAGAGGUGAAAUUCGUAGAUAUUCGCAAGAACACCAGUGGCGAAGGCAGCUCGCUGGGACGGUACUGACGCUGAGACGCGAAAGCGUGGGGAGCAAACAGG
rnacentral:rRNA from 1 species